GGCCUCCUUGACGGGUCCAUCGAAAGAUGAGUUUACUCGUUUUUAAGGGGGUCUAUAUUGACAUGUCUUUCUUGGGGGUCGCAAGAUCUCAAAGGGGGACAUGGAUUACCUUGAGAAAAUUAGAGUGCUCCAAGCAGGCCUGUGCUUGAAUAUGUUAGCAUGGAAUAAUAAAAUAGGACUUUGGUUCUAUUUUGUUGGUUUCUGGGACCGAAGUA
rnacentral:rRNA from 1 species